AGCGAACGCUGGCGGCAGGCCUAAAACAUGCAAGUCGAGCGCUCGUAGCAAUACGGGAGCGGCAGACGGGUGAGUAACACGUGGGAACGUAACCUUUGGUUCGGAACAACUCAGGGAAACUUGGGCUAAUACCGGAUAAGUCCGCAAGGAGAAAGAUUUAUCGCCGAAGGAUCGGCCCGCGUCUGAUUAGCUUGUUGGUGAGGUAACGGCGCACCAAGGCGACGAUCAGUAGCUGGUCUGAGCGGAUGAUCAGCCACACUGGGACUGAGACACGGCCCAGACUCCUACGGGAGGCAGCAGUUAGGAAUCUUGGACAAUGGGCGCAAGCCUGAUCCAGCCAUGCCGCGUGAGUGAUGAAGGCCCUAGGGUUGUAAAGCUCUUUCAGCGGGGAAGAUAAUGACGGUACCCGCAGAAGAAGCCCCGGCUAACUUCGUGCCAGCCGCCGCCGUAA
rnacentral:rRNA from 1 species